rnacentral:rRNA from 1 species
AGUCGGAAUCGCUAGUAAUCGCGGAUCAGCAUGCCGCGGUGAAUACGUUCCCAGGCCUUGUACACACCGCCCGUCACACCAUGGGAGUUUGUUGCACCAGAAGCAGGUAGCUUAACCUUCGGGAGGGCGCUUACCACUUUGUGAUUCAUGACUGGGGUGAAGUCGUAACAAGGUAGCCGUAGGGGAACCUGCGGCUGGAUCACCUC